GGUUUAAUCGUGGGCUUGGUGGAGGCCGUAGCUUGAGCUCGGGAGAUUUUUUACAUCGAUUUGGAGGGCCUUUCGAGUGUGCGUGCGUCGUGAUUGCGUCGUUGGAGGCCGGGCGAGCGCGCGUUUUCCUCUCCUUUCGACUUCUCGCCGUUGUUGGACGAGCGUUUCGAGAACCUUCGUCCGUGGCUGCUGCUGUUGCUGUUUUGGAUCGUGAAAAGGGAGUUGCGAGCUAGGUCCCUUCCGGUCUUGCUGCAGUUCUAGAUAAGUACCUCCCACAGGUAGUUUUGGGAUUUUUAUACGUAUGGUCUUUUUAUCUGGGUACUCGCUGGAUCGAGUGGUGUAGUAGACAUUUUAUAUGUACUGGAACCCUUAAGGUUAUAUAUUACUUUUCUAUUUAGCAGUU